UUCUCAAUUUAAAAAGUUUAUAUUUAUUUAUAUUCUUGCGUUUAAAAAUUUACCUUAAUCUUAAAAAUAUGUGUGGUACAGUACUUCAAUUAAGAAAACUGUAUAUUUAGAAGUAACGAUCGUUAUCACGCUGGUCGUUUACGCGUAGAAUUACACGUAAAAUGAGACGGAUACGUGGGACUUUAAAUCUCUGGCGAAGAAAUCUGAGUAGCCCAACCGGAUUCUCGAUAACUGUCCGGCAGAUGAAAAGGGAAAAACCGAUUCGCCGACGAUCAACAAACACCCGUUAGAUUGUAAUGUUCGCCAAUCGACGACACUUGGCUCCGAUAAACUUUGUAUACGUGUCUUUCUCUCUCUGCAACUGAGAAGUCGCUAUGAUAAUUGAAUAUCACUAUCUACAUAACAAAAUAUGUACAAAAUAUGUACAAUUUCUAAAGGGCGAAUUAAAGUUAGGAACUUCCAAAUUAUCCACCGCAUCGACGUUGCGCCAAUACUUGCAGAACCAAAACAAAGGAUCCUAUCUAGACGACUUUGUUGUACCAUGACAAGACGUGUAUAACGUCCUGAACACGUAUAUAACGUAUAUAAUAAAUAUCGCGCCAGAAACAUCGAACAUUCGAAUGUAAAGGGAUCGGUGAAAUAAAGCAAGCGAGACCAGAUUACGAUCCUGACAGAGUCUAUAAGACAGAAGAUCCAAGAACAGAAGUAGAGUGAGGAGCUGUUACUGAAGCAUUAAUAAAAAGCCAGCGGGUUAUUGUUCGCCAAUAAAAGACUGACAGACGAUUACGCGAUUCAGCGUAGGCCCAACGCACGGUUCGAUUCGAGAAUCGAUAACGCGAAUUCUCGCCCACGCUUCCCUGCACUUUCCAUCUGCGUCGUGAGAAACCGCUUUAUUUAUACUCAGAAAGAGUUCUUUUUUUUCCAUCCCACGAGGAGCACGCGCAUUUAUGGCUGUAUUCUAAUAUGCGAGCGUAGGCGUCUGACUGCGCUUGCCAUUUGUACAUUCUGUUGAUGGAUAAAACGCAGAAAUAUUAUGAACUUAAUAUUGAUUUAUUUUGUUCUCAAUUCAGUUUCAAAAAGUAUUGAAGAAUUUGAUAUCUUUUUUGAAAGUAGUUGUAUAAUCACUGUAGAGUUGGAUUUUUGUAGAAUUAUUAUUAAUGGAAUUUUAUACUGAAUUCAAACAGCGCAGUGAUUUAAGAAUACGAAUCGAGCGAUUACGAAAGAGUUAUUCGCGCAGGCUUUAAGUAUGCACAGUGUGUGCACGCACGUGGUUCUCCAGGAUACCGGUCCGAGUAUCGUGAACUGUUACGCGGUCCGCAUUCAACAUUAACACACUCCCCAUUACGUAGGAUGAUAUUUAUCCGAGGCAUGACAUUCAGUGUCGAACAAUGACCGCAGAUAGUUAUUUAACAUUAAAACGAAGAUGAAUCACAAUCAGUGAUUCUUUGCUAAAACAUUGAGAAUUAAACCACGUUUUUCUUUUAGAAUCUGAAUGCAUGAAGGACACAUGGCUACUAACAUGAGAAGGAAAUUAAUUUAUAAAUUUCUUUGACAAUAUCAAAUUAAUCUAGGCCAUGACUAUUAAUCUUUCAAAAAGAUGAUUGAAAGAUAAUUUGUUAUAUUAUGUUUCGUAAGGCUGAUAUACUAUGAAAAUAAUGUCAGUAAAGUAUCGACAUGCAAACACUCCAGGCUAGAAAACAAGCUGAAAAGCUGGAUUAAAAACUUCUAUAACGAAAGUGUGUAACAUAGGACUGAGGUUGGAAAGAGCGAUUUCCAUAGCUUUUGCAACGGACCAACAAUAUGUAUAUCCCAGUCGCUUGGUGGCGAGCUGGUUGCCAGGCAGCGAGUUUCGUCCAGGUAAACCUCUCUUCUCGUUUCCUCUUUCACUCGCUUGCACCUUGUUGCCGAUACAAACGCCAUAUUACCAGUCUAUCGACGUUUGAUAUCGGUCGACUGGACUCAGCGGUGCGCAAACUCCCAUGAUACAGAGCUAAACUAGUUUCAGACACAGAAACUCUGGUUGAAGAAUAUCGCAGACGUUGCCUGUUUUAUCAGCAACUAUGUUACAUAACUUAUUUCGGGGAUAUCAUACUUCAAAAUAAAUAAAUCUAUGAUAAUUUGAAGUUAAGAUGGAGAAUUAUUCUUUAUUAUCAUGAAGAUCAUUUCAACAGACAUGAGAGAUGAAAAAAAAAUUUCUUUCCAAUUUCUGCUGAUUGAUUUCAAAGUCACAACUGACGUGGCUUUUUGAUAUGGUCGACGUGGCUAUUUUAUGAAACUAAGAAGGGAAAAGCGUUUCUGUUGCAUAAUCGGAUCUUCCUAGCAAAUUUUUGUCAUGUAAUUAUAAAUCCAAAAACCUAAUGUUUAGUGACUAGCUCAGGUUUAUUUGGUACUAUCAGAUUUAAACAAGCUAUGAAUCUACCUUUUAUACAAUAUUUUUUUCUUAUUUUUCCCCAGACAAAAAAAGUGUUAACUUGAAACAAUCAAUACAAGGAAAAUAUAUUGCCACAACUGUGUUCUCUGUGUUACAAAAUAAGCGGCGAUUCCGGUUCGACCGCUGUUCAUUAAUACGCAUUGCUUGUAAAUUAUCACCGGGAAUGAUACGAGGUUGCGCACCACUGAUUUAAUGGAUGACUCUACCGGCCUGGUGUGGUAAUCACGGUGAAAAAUCUUUCGUUCGAACGGCCCUCAGUUCGGUCCUCAGUCAUUUUGUCGUCAACAACACGCCGUUGCUCGUCUGCCCUUUAAUUACCACGGGAUCUCGAAAAAUCCACGCGAAAACUGCUCCUGUGAAAAACCAUGGCGCUGCCUGGUUCAACGACCUUGCAUAGCUGAAUGCUAUGGUUGAAUGGCGUAAAAUAAUUGAACGAGAUUCGGUGGAAGAUUCCCGAUUAUUUCUGUGGAAAUCAUACAGUUGAAUAACAGACGGACAUUUAUGCAAAUUUGUCUUGUUAUGAAUGUAAUUAAGACAAAAAGAGAUGGGCAUUUGUUUUGAUAAUGUUUAAAUAUUGUUGUAGGCAUGCAGGUAUUGCAGAACGAAGACCACAGGAAUUUAUAAAAGAAGAAAAAAAAAACAUAAUAGGAACUUGUAGAAAAUUUAUUUCAAUUAUAGUGUAUCCACUUGACCCAAUAAAAAUCGAACAAUAAUUCAAUCUUAAUAAGUAAUUCCACUGAGGCACAUUGAUACUAAAAAUGUUCUUGGUAAAUGCAUAAAAAUUCACUGUCUAAUAAUAGCCAGGAAAAAUUUCUAGAAUAUUCUUUCACAACAUAAUCAAGCGGUUAUACAAUAGUUGUGGAAUAAUCUUGAUAAACGUCAGACAUCUGAUCUGAUAAGUGUAAUUUACAGUUUUUUUGAAAGCUUGGCAUGAAAUAUGGGAUAAAAUCAAAGAAGAAAAAUCGUAAAACUUGUUAAUGGUGGUAAUUAAGGUGUUCGGUGAGGAAGUUCUGACAUGAUUACAUGAACAAGGAUGAUAAUUGCUUAGGUACUGAUAUUUCUAAUGAAGAUAAUGUUUCACGGAUCGUUGUUGCCACUGCACUUUCUGAAUUAUUUUCUUUCUUUCCAUAUUUUUUGGAGUAACAAGUUUGCCUCGUCAUGCGCCAUCAUGUAUGAUUUUCAGGCCAACCGCUAUUUGGGAACCGACAGACGUUCUGAAACAAAGGUUCAGAGGCUGGCUAUCAGCAUACGAAAUAACGCUACAAUGUACCGUAAGUCUUCACGCAUGGUGGAUCGAAACGAACAGAAGAGGAGGAACAGGCAACAACACCACACGCGAUCGAUUGGUGGCUCGUUACAGAGAGCCUGGUUGAAAGUUCGAACGAGGUCCGUGCAUUAAUAUUUCCGUUAUUGCGCGCACGAGCACCGAGGUUAUGCCUUUCACACAGCCAAGUAAUAAUACGGAAAGUGAUCGUUCCUCUCCCAGUUGGCUGAUCGAUCACGAUACGGAUUUUAACGAGCCUUCAUCCGAUUAACGCUCCACUGAUCACGCAAACCUUACCUCAGCACAUUUUGUUAACUUUUUUAUGCUAUUACAUUAAGCGGAAGAUCAUACACAGCGUUAACAGAGAUUUAAUGGAUUAAACAAGCUCACACGCAUGUUAUUUUAAUUACAAACCGGGAUACAUCUCUAAAAUGAAAGAUAAAAUAGGCGUGAGAGAUUUGAGAGUGUUAAUGGAAUUAAAUUAUGACACGACUAAUUAGUGAUCAAUUUAAAUGGUAUUUCCACCAGGAGACAAUAAUAGAGCAAUUAAUGGUGGAGUAAUUAUCAUCUAAAUAUGGAGAUUCUGGGAUCACCAACGUUUCAUAAUACUGCUGGAUCUACUUAAUCUUGGCUUUCCUUUUCAAGAACUUGUCAAUCCACUCUUGAUAUGGUAUAAAUUACUAUUAGCUUCUGUUCUUAGAAUCCGGGAGAUAUCAUCGACUCGUAAAUCCUAUAACUAGAGACUCAUAAAAAAAAGAGUUCUCUUCAACUACUUGAAGCUACUCAAAGUGAUGCAAAAUUUUGACUAGGAUAACUUCAAUUAUGGGUAUUUCUAAAUUAUCAUAACAAAGAUUCUAGCACCUGCCCUCUGUUCAAAAUUUCAUUUAGCAUUUAAUCUUGCAAUUAAAUUGCAAAUAAUUGGAAAUUGUCAGAUCAAAGAUCAUCAAGCACCAAAGUAUCUACGAAUCUCAAAACUAAGUUCCAUAGAUCACAGAUAGAUCCUUAAUCCCAAAUGGUCACGUGUACACCACUGUUUACUCAUUUUCACAAAAACGUAUUGGGCAACAGUGAAGAAAUAAAAUGGAUAACCAAAGGGGAGGAGAACGUUUGAACACGUUCGCAGAGUAUCCGUACAAGUCUAUGGCCGCGACGCGACUAAACGUUGAUCCAGGACUUUCACUUUGAGAUCCAGUCGGCCCUCUGUCCCUUCUCGAGCCGAUUAUUCGCAGCACGCCCACGCUCGCCAGCUCUGAAUCACGAUCGAAUUGUUCUUACAUGGAUAAUACCAUUCCCUGGCUGGACAGAGUGGUUCUCUGUUGAUACGUAGACGGAUUUAUACCGGGAACUAAAACUUAACACGGUUCAUCGUCCAGUUCAGAGUUAGAAAAUAAAUGAUAUGCAAGAAUAUGACAAGAAAUUGGCAGUGAGAAGAGUAUAAUUGGAAUAAUCAGAAGACUUUUGCUUAAAGUUUGCAUAUAUAAUAUACUACUGAUAAUAAAAAAGCAGAACGAGAAUUGAACUCGUGAGAUAUUUUAGAUAUAAUGUACCUAAAAUUAUAAAGAGUUUAUAUUAUUUAAUUAAAAGAUUGUAAAAAAAAAGCUAAACCUAGUAGUUUGAAAAUAAAAUAAAUUAAGCUUUAGGAGUUGAGUACAAAAUAUUCAGAUGAUUGAGAUUUUUCUAGGUUUCUUUCUAAGAAUAACUAAAUAAAAUAAAAUUCACUGACAGAAUUCUCUGAUACCUGGCUCUAGAAAGAAUAAUUGAAUUGACGCAGGAUCGUUAAUUAAAAUUUACAAUGGCGAAGUGAAGUUUGAAGCUAACUGUACAGUAAAUGGGUGCAAGAACAAAGGAGGAUUUCAUGAAUAAUAACUGUAAAUAAUGGACAUCAGUGAACUAGUAAAUAAAGUUUGAAAGAAGUAUGAAAAAACGAGUGAAAGAAAUUUGAUGAGUAAGGGUGCCACGAACGGAAAAGUGAAUGAACUUCGCGUGUCAGCAACACCAGAAACCGCUCAAAGUUUGCUAUCGUAGUUCGUUGAACGAGGAACGGCUGAGGAAGACGAAAAGAAGUCAGCGCUUACGUAAACGCGCUUUCGUUUGUUUUUGAAAUAUGCAUCGACUCGAUCCUGAUUCAACACGGAAGAGCAUGUGGCACCACUGCGAUCCGUGCUCGCUGAUAAUCAAACAUUACUCCGGGGUGAAAGGUGAACCCUCUCCCUUCUCCUCGAGAUCGUACCAACAGGAGGAUCCGCGACUAUACUUGUAGGAGAGCCCGAUUGCCACACUCUGGCUCUCCCUGUUUUCUACCUUGUUCUUGGAGACGAAUCCUCGGAUGAUGUGAUUCACUAGACUGCUAACGGGUUACUCCAAAAUGCUACCAAUUGUAUUGUAGAAUGAUCUAAAUAGUUAAAAGUACAAAAGUUAAAAAAGCACAGUAGAAGCGUUUAUAUUUUGUGAAAGAUUGGAUUCUGAUCAAUUUUGAGUAAUUCAAUCUACACUGAUCAACAAGAAUUAUGUUAAUUAACUGAUGGAAGGAUAUUUGCUCCAAGAAAAUAACACAGCGAUUGUCCUUAUCCUCAAAAGAGCAGAUUUCGUCAGCAAAUGGAAUAAGGCCAAGGAAAAUGAGAGCUCCACGAACAAAAGAAAUCAUCCGCUUACUGGAAUCAUCCAUAUCUAAUCUUAAUCAUUAUUCUACUCGCGUAUGUUUAUUAUUUUCCCGUGUCCUCGCCGCGUAUUACCAACACGAAAGUGACAUCAUAUUCUGUUCACAAACCAGUUCUCAUUGACUUUAAUACCAGUUCUCUAUAGUGAAUCUUUAGAGAUGGUCGCCAGGUGGGGUCAUGACCUCACAAUGCUUCUACAGCCACGUGUCCUCUGAUCCUCUGAGUUCAGACACACUUCAGAAAUUGCAGAGGAAAGAAUAUCAAGUCUUUU